UGGGAUCAUGAUCGCGCCGGUGUCCCGAAAGGGGCUUAAUAGGGAAUGCGGUGCGGACGGGUGACUGUCCAAAUCCGCAGCUGUCCCUGCAACUGUAAGCGGUGAGCGCGAUGUACAUGUGCGGACGGCAGAAUGCCCGAUCCGCCAGCCACUGGGCCGGACGCUAAAUCCUGCGAGGCCUGGGAAGGCCGUGCAUCAAGCGAUGACCCGUGAGCCAGGAGACCUGCCGGCGUCUGGUCGCUCUU
rnacentral:ncRNA from 2 species